rnacentral:rRNA from 1 species
GCUUACGGCCACACCGGCCUGAGUACGCCUGAUCUCGUCCGAUCUCGGAAGCUAAGCAGGGUCGGGCCUGGUUAGUACUUUGGAUGGGAGACCGCCUGGGAAUACCAGGUGCUGUAAGCU